rnacentral:rRNA from 1 species
GACGAACCGUGCAAACGUUAUUCGGAAUCACUGGGCUUAAAGCGUGCGUAGGCGGCUCAGAAAGUUGGGUGUGAAAUGCCUCGGCUCAACCGAGGAAUUGCGCCCAAAACUACUGAGCUUGAGGGAGUUAGAGGUGAGCGGAACUCACGGUGGAGCGGUGAAAUGCGUUGAUAUCGUGAGGAACACCGGAGGCGAAAGCGGCUCACUGGGGCUUCACUGACGCUGAGGCACGAAAGCUAGGGGAGCAAACGGG